AGCUCCUGAACUCUAGGUUAGCAAAGGAAAUGCAACUGAGACCCUCACUAAUACGUGGGGAGAGACCAGUGCCCUUUGGCACUGCCCAUGGGGCUUCUGCUCUAAUAUUCAGGGCAGUCUUGUCUCUGGACUCCAGAAUUUCUAGCCAUGAUACCUCAAAGAUUUGAGAGUUGAUAUCACAGGAAAUACAUACUCUUGGGCCAUUGACUUAAGUCUCAUUUCCCCCAGACACUUAAAAUAGAGAUGAUAUAGGAGGAACUAAACUAAGAUCAACAAAAUCAUCCUCCAACCUUUUAGCAAACUAUAUUCAUUCAAUACACAUUUGUUGAGCUCCUAUUAUAUCCAGGGACUACAGAGGAUGCUCUGGAUGCGUCAAAUCUGGAUCACACAGCGAUUUGGUGUAGGAGAGAUUUGAAAAACCCCAGGCACUAUUACACACGACAGAAAUACUGAGUGGCAUGAGGAAUGUCAACAGAAAGCGUGAAGGGUGAUCAGAUCAGGGGGCAUCUCUGAUGGCAGAUGGCUGAGGUUGCUUUGUUACAAACCUCCUGAGCAGGUAGAAUCUAGCUUCUCUUCAACGAGCAUCCCAAAGUGCAGCUAACUGAAGUGGGAGUUUAUAGCUAAAAUGCAACCCUGGUAUGUCCAUGUAGCAAACAGUAGCCUCACUUACUUGUUUCUGCCUUUCCUAUGGGGACCCCAGGCUGCCUGCACCUUCCACACACUGGGAUAAGUACUGACAAACAUCUUGUCUGUGUUUGGGUCAGUAUUCAUGCUCAACUCACGAAUGGGCACCGUCUAGUUCAGGGUCAGACUUAUGCCGGGACCAGCACAUACAAAGCAUGUUCUAUGUUCCAAGCCAUGACCCGGGUAACUUACAAACAAGUCACGUGGCCAGUGAGUGAUGGAACCAGAUCCCAGUCCACAUGAGACUGAUUCCAUAGCCCGGGAUCUUCCCAUAGCACAACGGCCAGCUCUUCUCUGGCUUAGUUCGCAAGAUACAGCUUCUGUCUUCACCCUCGCUGUCCACCCACGUCCUUCUAUUUAACACAACGUCUGGUUUUGCCUUUUCGCAACAACCUUGUCACCUGACUGCCCAUGACCCAGCGUGACAGUCCCCAAAUUCUGAGGACCAGCAAUUUAGAUCCACUGCCUCCUAUCCAGCUCCUUCUCAGAGACUGACUUCAAAGGUUCCCUGGAAAUGAAAAGCACCAGGCAUUGUGGUGUUUGAUGGCAAUUUCAACAGACCAGCCAGUGGUCCAGCUCUCUCACUGCCUAAGAGUAUCUAGUUAUCCCUAAAGAAGCGAGUCCUGGAUCCUGCCACAGCACAAGGCAAGGAUGGAGAGGCACUGCCAAAUAUCUGCUGUGCUGCACAGUUCUGAACCAUUUAUCUAAUAGCUAAUAUAAUAUCAAGUGACAGUUUAAACAGGCUACUUUCACCUAAUCUGUGCAUGCUGUAUGCAAAACAGCUCUGACCCUGGCUUGAUUCCUUAAAGCAUGGAGGAUUUAAUUAUCUCCCACUGUUAUAGAAGUAAUGACAAGUUACUUAGUACUUUUAAGACCGAUAAAUAAAGUCCUUUUGACAAGUGAGCUAAAACCUACCUCAUUACAAAGUUGCAAUACAAAUGCCCCUGUCCUUAAACUCAGGAUUUCUUUUCUUAAGUGAAAAUGGUCCCUAAUCCCAGGACACUUUUAAAUAUGGCACAACCCAGAGCAAGGAGCCAUACAGCGCCUUCUCUGAAAAGGGGGAUAAAUUAAGAAAGAGAGGGAGAGGUGGGAGGGCAAAGGAAAUAAAGAGAAGCGUCUAUGGGAGUUCUCACUGUGGCUCAGCGGGUUAAGGACCUGACACAGUCUCCAUGAGGACGCAGGUUCGAUCCCUGGCCUCUCUCAGUGGGUUAAGGAUCCAGCGUUACCACAACUGAGGAGUAGGUUGCAGAUGAGGCUCGGAUCUGGCAUUGCCAUGGAUGUGGCAUAGGCCUGCAACUGCAGCUCUAAUUCAACUCCUAGCCUGGGAACUUCUGUAUGUCACAGGCACAGCCAUAAAAAGGAAGAAAAAAAAAAAGAGAGAGAGAGAGAGAAGCAUCUAUAGAUUUAUCUGCAGCGAUAAAAUUUCCAGUUUCUCUCAAUUCACAUUCAUUUCUCCCAUCUUUCUGGAAGGAAUACUCCUCCUCCCUCCCCACGAAACACAAAUCGGUUCCCUUUCCCCAGACCCCCCACUUCCAAUCUCUCUUAUUUAACUGAGUUUGACAUGGCUCUAAUACUUAUUUAGAGCUGCAGUGACCUCUGUCCAAGGCCUCACCCCUUCACAGAUGGGUAUUUGUCACUAGGAAAGAAGGUAUGGAUAUUAAUACAGAAAUCAGCAAGGCUGCAAGUGCAACGGACAUAGGGACACACAAUAAGGGACAUUGUCAUAAAUAUGAGUAAUAUUCAGUAAAGGAGGAGUUGCUUCAACUGACUUAAAUACAACUCCAGGUUUGGAUGAUUUUUUUCUUAAAUCAUCAUAUAAUUCAAUGGGAAAAUAAGCAGAAGAAAGCCCGUCACCAAGUGCCGCAGCCGUCAGUAGCAAAGCUGGUGUUUCCCCACGUUUUUGGCAUCAUGGUUUCUCUCUAGAAUCUGAUGAGAGUUACAGAUCUGUGUUUGCAAAUAUGUGGCCCAUAGUUGAUAUCCAAUCCAACAUCAUGUUGUUGUUGGCCUGCACUAAUUUAAAAAAAAAAAUCUUUGCAUGAAUUGACAAUAUGAAAUUGAAAUGGUUUACACAACGUCCUGAAAACGCACUUCUCCUAAAAAGUUUAAAGGCCUGACAAUAUGAGGCCAGCAUGA
rnacentral:lncRNA from 1 species